GGGCCCGCACAAGCGGUGGAGCAUGUGGUUUAAUUCGAUGCAACGCGAAGAACCUUACCUGGUCUUGACAUACACAGAAUCUUGUAGAGAUACGAGAGUGCCUUCGGGAAUUGUGAUACAGGUGCUGCAUGGCUGUCGUCAGCUCGUGUCGUGAGAUGUUGGGUUAAGUCCCGCAACGAGCGCAACCCUUGUCCUUAGUUACCAGCGGGUUAAGCCGGGAACUCUAAGGAUACUGCCAGUGACAAACUGGAGGAAGGCGGGGACGACGUCAAGUCAUCAUGGCCCUUACGACCAGGGCUACACACGUGCUACAAUGGGUAUUACAGAGGGCUGCGAAAGAGCGAUCUGGAGCGAAACUCACAAAAGUACCCCAGUCCGGAUUGUAGUCUGCAACUCGACUGCAUGAAGUCGGAAUCGCUAGUAAUCG
rnacentral:rRNA from 1 species